UACGGAGGGUGCAAGCAUUAAUCGGAUUUAUUGGGCGUAAAGGGCGCGUAGGCGGAAAAACAAGUCAGAUGUGAAAUCCCGGGGCUCAACCCCGGAACAGCAUUUGAAACUGUUUUCCUAGAGGGUAGGCGGAGAAAACGGAAUUCCACAAGUAGCGGUGAAAUGCGUAGAUAUGUGGAAGAACAUCAGUGGCGAAGGCGGUUUUCUAGCUUAUUCCUGACGCUGAGGCGCGAAAGCAAGGGGAUCAAACAGG
rnacentral:rRNA from 1 species